GAUGAACGCUAGCGGGAGGCCUAACACAUGCAAGCCGAGCGGUAUUGUUUCUUCGGAAAUGAGAGAGCGGCGUACGGGUGCGUAACACGUGUGCAACCUGCCUUUAUCUGGGGGAUAGCCUUUCGAAAGGAAGAUUAAUACUCCAUAAUAUAUUGAACGGCAUCGUUUAAUAUUGAAAGCUCCGGCGGAUAGAGAUGGGCACGCGCAAGAUUAGCUAGUUGGUGAGGUAACGGCUCACCAAGGCGAUGAUCUUUAGGGGGCCUGAGAGGGUGAUCCCCCACACUGGUACUGAGACACGGACCAGACUCCUACGGGAGGCAGCAGUGAGGAAUAUUGGUCAAUGGGUGCAAGCCUGAACCAGCCAUCCCGCGUGAAGGACGACUGCCCUAUGGGUUGUAAACUUCUUUUGUAUAGGGAUAAACCUACCCUCGAGAGGGUAGCUGAAGGUACUAUACGAAUAAGCGCCGGCUAACUCCGUG
rnacentral:rRNA from 1 species